rnacentral:rRNA from 1 species
GUAGUCUCGCACAGAUGCAUAUCAAUAAGCGGAGGAAAAGAAACUAACAAGGAUUCCCCUAGUAACGGCGAGUGAAGCGGGAAGAGCUCAAAUUUGAAAUCUUAAAGGGUUUCCCUUUACGAAUUGUAGUUUAAAGAAGUGUUUUCUGUUGAGGUUUUGGUAAAAGUUCUUUGGAAUAGGACAUCAUAGAGGGUGAGAAUCCCGUAUUUGACCUUUACUUUCAACUUUGUGAUACACUUUCAAAGAGUCGGAUUGUUUGGGGAUGCAGUCCAAAAUGGGUGGUAAAUUUCAUCUAAAGCUAAAUAUUGGCGAGAGACCGAUAGCGAACAAGUACCGUGAGGGAAAGAUGAAAAGAACUUUGAAAAGAGAGUUAAACAGUACGUGAAAUUGUCAAAAGGGAAGCGUUUGACACCAGUGUUGUUUUUCUGAAAAUCAAUUAAAGAACUGUUUAUGCUAAGUUGUUUAGACUUUAUCAGCUAACUGUUUAGUUUUGAGCUUUUCUUUAAUGCACUUUUCAGUUAACAAGUCAACAUCAAUUUCUUUUGCUGUAAAAAAGCUUGAGGAAGGUGGCUUGAGAUUCGUCUUAAGUGUUUAUAGCCUCUUGCCUAUGCAGUCGGAGAGAUUGAGGUCUGCAGCGUAGAUCCUUCGGGGCUAAAUGCAUUUGUGCUAAGUUAUAGCAUUUUAUAGACAACUUGUUGACUAUGAUUUGUCUUGUAGCUUACUCGCUUAUGUUAUUUUACCUACGCUUAGGAUGUUGACAGCAGUAUAGACUGU